AACGCUAGCUACAGGCUUAACACAUGCAAGUCGAGGGGCAGCAUUUUAGUUUGCUUGCAAACUAAAGAUGGCGACCGGCGCACGGGUGAGUAACACGUAUCCAACCUGCCGAUAACUCGGGGAUAGCCUUUCGAAAGAAAGAUUAAUAUCCGAUGGUAUAUUAAAACCGCAUGGUUUUACUAUUAAAGAAUUUCGGUUAUCGAUGGGGAUGCGUUCCAUUAGUUUGUUGGCGGGGUAACGGCCCACCAAGACUACGAUGGAUAGGGGUUCUGAGAGGAAGGUCCCCCACAUUGGAACUGAGACACGGUCCAAACUCCUACGGGAGGCAGCAGUGAGGAAUAUUGGUCAAUGGACGAGAGUCUGAACCAGCCAAGUAGCGUGAAGGAUGACUGCCCUAUGGGUUGUAAACUUCUUUUAUAUGGGAAUAAAGUAUUCCACGUGUGGGAUUUUGUAUGUACCAUAUGAAUAAGGAUCGGCUAACUCCGUGCCAGCAGCCGCGGUAAUACGGAGGAUCCGAGCGUUAUCCGGAUUUAUUGGGUUUAAAGGGUGCGUAGGCGGAAUAAUAAGUCAGUUGUGAAAGUUUGCGGCUCAACCGUAAAAUUGCAGUUGAUACUGUUAUUCUUGAGUGUACAUAAGGUAGGCGGAAUUCGUGGUGUAGCGGUGAAAUGCUUAGAUAUCACGAAGAACUCCGAUUG
rnacentral:rRNA from 1 species